rnacentral:rRNA from 1 species
GGGGAAUCUUCCGCAAUGGGCGAAAGCCUGACGGAGCAACGCCGCGUGAGGGAAGAAGGCCUUCGGGUUGUAAACCUCUGUUUUCAGGGAAGAAAGAAAUGACGGUACCUGAAGAGUAAGCUCCGGCUAACUACGUGCCAGCAGCCGCGGUAAUACGUAGGGAGCGAGCGUUGUCCGGAUUUACUGGGCGUAAAGGGCGCGUAGGUGGUCCAUUAAGUUAUAGGUGAAAGCCCGGGGCUCAACCCCGUGAUUGCCUGUGAUACUGGUGGACUUGAGUGCAGGAGAGGGGAGCAGAAUUCCCAGUGUAGCGGUGAAAUGCGUAGAUAUUGGGAGGAAUACCAGUGGCGAAGGCGGCUCUCUGGACUGUAACUGACACUGAGGCGCGAAAGCGUGGGUAGCGAAC